rnacentral:lncRNA from 1 species
AGGAAAAGGCACUUGAUUUUACUGUUUCAUAUAUUCUUUGUUUAGUACUUCAGUUACCCUUCUUUCGUGUACCGACCCCAAUGCCAGGGCAGGAGGCCGGAGAGGCUUGCCGCAAGCCCACACCUGACACGACGAAACCUACUCCCAGCAAUUCCGAUCCACCACAGCCUCUCAUCCUGCAACGCGAAGAUGCUCCCUUAUGGUGUAACUGUGGAAUGGUAUCUGCUUGUUACUUCAAUUAGUAAAAAAACAAGUAUGCAAUGUUGUCAACUUGUUGACGACUUUGUUCUAGGUUCUUGACAUUAGCUCGUCAUGCCUUGUGUGACACUCAUGUGUGAAAAUAUUCAGUUUUAUCGCCAUGGAAGAAACAAAAAGAUGGAAUUCUUUUUCUUUAUAAACUACAUUUAGCACAAGAGUACCAAUAAUUGCAAGGUGCUUCAUCCAUACUGUACACAGGGGUUCUAGUGAAAUUAAUUGGUCAAAGUACAAAGUACUUUUACGAACUAAAAGAUGCACUUAUAUGGACAAUAUGAAUGUAUUAGGAGAAUAAAGAUUCUGACAAUGAACUAUGGAGAAAAACAAUGAUGUGAAAACAACAAUUUUUCCGCUAGAUCCAUAACUGUAGAAAAACAUCCAAUUGAUUGUAUCAAUACUUCAAUUAACUAACUGGGAAGUAGUAUUACUUUAGAACAACAUAUAUUCAAGAUGAUAUCCUAUACAAACAUUUUUGUGACCAAAACCAAAAAAGUGUCAACAUUUCCCAGAUCCAUAAACAUAAGAACAUAGUGGACUGAUACCCACACACCUAAUAAUUUCCUGCACUUUAGUGUGGCAUUUGCAAGAUAUUCGGUAGAAAGGAUCAUAAAGAGAGCUUAGCCAUUCCACCUCUAGACAGUACAAUAAGGUCUUUAGCUUUAACUUAAUAACCGAACUGCAAGUGAGAACAUGAUACUCCUGAUAAUAGAAGAACAUGCAACCUAUUUGUCUAGAACCAAGAUAGAAUUGUCACGGUGUACCGUGUACGCCAAAAGCUAGAGCUGGUGAGUGAAGAAAACCAGUAGGCGGCUAUGAUCAAUGUCACUAAAUUAAAUAGUCCAAAUCUUUGUUGUAGGUCCAAGUGGUGUCCAAAGCCUUUGAGAAUCUGCAGUUGAGACUUGAGAAUAUACAACAAGAAGACACAGGUGCAUGAUACACCCAGGAAGAAUUCAGCUUCAGAGUGGCGCACUACAAA